AUUCAAAGUAUAAAAAUUCUUAAAAAGUCCCUUCAUUUCCUUACUUUCUCUGCCGCUGCCGCUCUAACUCUCUAUCUCCUGCCCUUUGCCCUUCUGUUCUUUCUGACUACUUAUUUCCUUUUCUGUUUUACUUGCCAUUUGUCUUGCUCUAAGACUGCAUGUGAGUUUCUACCCAUAGUCAUCUAGGUCUUCAGCCCAAGAUAAUUCCAUCUCUUCAUGGGGAGAAAAACUAGAGACAAAAAACACCCCAGAGCUCUGGGCUCUCACCUUUCCUUUAUUGUGUGGCUCUGUUCUUCCCUUAGCGCUUUUAAAUUAUAGUCUCAGCCCUGGAAAGAGAGAAUGACCCAGGAUACUGCUCAGUAAUGCACUCCACCAAUCACCUUUCAACUAAGGGCUCAGAAGGCACAGCUUUACUAUUUAAAGUGUAAGAUGUUCCAGGCUGAUAUUAUGCUCUUUUGUUGUUGCUGUUGUUGUCUUUUUAGGGCCGGAUCCACAGCAUAUGGAGGUUCCCAGGCUGGGGGUCAAAUCAGAGUGGUAGCUGCCAGCUUAUGCCAGAGCCACAUCAACGCAGGAUCCGAGCCACGUCUGUGACCUACACCACAGCUCACCGCAACGCUGGAUUCUUAACUCACUGAGCAAGGCUGGGGAUCGAACCUGCGUCCUCAUGGAUGCUCCUCAGAUUUGUUUCCGCUGAGCCACGAUGGGAACUCCUGAUAUUAUGCUCUUGUAGGACCAGGUAAUCUGGCUGAAGUCCAGCCUCUGCUAUUCUACUGCCCAGAGGCUGGGGACACUUUGUAAUUCUGGAUAGGCCUCACUUUGGGCAGAAAAGUUCUGCAAAGUCAAUGUAGUCCAUCUAGUCACCUGACAUCUGUGUCUCUGAAUCCAGGGAAGGGAAACUCACUACUUCCCAAGGCAGCCUAAUCUGUUCCAUGACCAAAUAAGAAAGUUGCAUUUUCAAAGAAAACAUUCAUGUAUUUGGUCAUGGUGACUGUUUGCUUAGCAAACUAUCCUUCCAUGAAUCAUGGUUAUUCUGAACUUUCAGUAGCCCUAGGUCACUUCACCCCAUCAAAGUCUUUGCAAGAGAAAGGGCUUUAAAGGCAUCAGAAUGUUAGAUUAUUUAUUCUUUUAAAAUUUACAAAUGUGGAGGUAAAAAUAUGUUUAUAGUGCAUGGAUCUAUCCUUAUCAGCCUUAUCAUCAUGUGUAAUAAUAAUAGCUCAUACUUCUAGAGAAUUACUGUGUGCCAGGCAUUAUUCUAAGAAUUUUGCAUAUAUUAAACCACGUAAGUGUGAUAUCUCUAAACUUCUCCUAUUUCCUUCCCUAUAGGGGUCCAGAAUUUGAUAACACAUCAACAAAAGAAGAAAUCUAUGUCAUCCAGCCCAAUCUUCAACAUUCUCUAUGAGUCCCAGAAAGGGUGUGUGCCUUACCUUAGGUCACACAGCUACUAAUGGUCGAGUGAAUCUCAAGCACUUAACAAUAUCAAGCUCGCUGUUCAUAGCCAGCAUCAAGAACGAUAUUUUAGGAACCUGAGAUUCUUUUUCAUAAAAACCUGCCUUGAUUUGCUCUACAUGGGGCUACUACUCUUUCACAAGGUGCCCAAAUCACCUUUCCUGCCUUGUUAUCUUUUAAAGGAAGGAUGUAAGAAGCAGUGGGAGAGCAGGUAUCAGGAGAGGAGGACCCUGAUAGAAAAAGGAGACAGAUGGAGGCUUAGCUGGCUGCAUGCUGAACUGAGCACCUCUCUGGCAGGAGAGAAGGGAGCUGGGUCCCUGACUGUUUACUUCCAUGGAAGUUCACCUGAAUUCUGCUCCUGGGACAGAAUGGGAUAUUCCCGCCCAAUUCUGGCUGUGCACAUUUCUUCCCAAGAACCUCCGUCUCUGCCCUAUCUAUAUAUGGAAACACAUCUGACAACAGCAGCAGACAAGAAAGAUUUUUGUUCUCUCAGAACGCAGAAAAAUUCUCCGUCAGCAGCCGUUUUUUUCAGUGUUUGGUGCAUUGAUGUGUGGGCUACAUAGACUAUUUUAAAGUCAUAUUUGCCUUCAAGCAAUGGCAGCUUUGUAAACAGUAUGGACAUGGACAUAUGAGUCAGAUUCAGUUUAUAACCAAUGCUAAGGCAAUUCCAAAACUACUUUAUUGUAUAAAUAUUGUUCAGA
rnacentral:lncRNA from 1 species